CUGNCGCGUGCUCAAUGACGCCACGAACGAGUCCACGUGAUGAAAGUCACGUGAAAUCAUCAAUCGUCGUCUUAAGGGACAGUCUCUUGGAACUGUGGGACUCUAACUAGGAAUGUCUCGUAAGCACAAGUCAACAUCUUGUGUUGAUUACGU
rnacentral:rRNA from 1 species